GUGCCAGCAGCCGCGGUAAUACAGAGACCGCAAGCGUUGUUCGGAUUCACUGGGCGUAAAGGGUGCGCAGGUGGUUGGAUGUGUCGAAUGUGAAAGCUCGAGGCUCAACCUCGAAACUGCAUCCGAAACUAUCCAACUAGAGUGCUGGAGAGGGAAGUGGAAUUCACGGUGUAGCAGUGAAAUGCGUAGAUAUCGUGAGGAACACCAAUGGCGAAGGCAACUUCCUAGACAGCAACUGACACUCAGGCACGAAAGCGUGGGGAGCAAAAGGGAUUAGAAACCCGAGUAGUCC
rnacentral:rRNA from 1 species